rnacentral:rRNA from 1 species
AGCCCCAAAACCUGGGGAACCAACCAGAUUAAAUACCCUGGUUAUCCCCCCCCUAAACCAUUAAUGCUUAGUGUUAAGAGUUUCUCUACCCUUUAUGCCUCCACUUACCCCAUUAACACUCCCCCCGGGGAAUACCCUCCCCAGAAUUAAACUCCAAAGAAUUUACCGGGGCCCCCCCCAACCGUGGAACCUGUUGUUUAAUUCCAAACCACCCCAAAAACCUUUCCCAGUCCUGACCUCCCUCUGACCGCUCUAGAGAUAGAGCUUCCCCUCUCGGCAGUCGUAACAAGUGGUGCAUGGUUGUCGUCAUCUCCUCUCG